rnacentral:lncRNA from 1 species
CUUUAUACCUACAGAUGACUGAAUCAUUGUGGUUUAUACGACUUCCCUUGAACUUGCCUCUGUUUUGGAGGACAUUGCUUGGAAACUGACAGUGACAGUUCAAAUCAUCUGGCUUUAUUUUUUUCCUCCCUGCAUCUCACAAAGUGAGAGAGUGGCCAACUUCAUCAAAUUAGUUGCUGUGAAUUAUAUUCUUAGCUCUGUCCUGAUUCUCUGAAAUACCAAUGUUUCAAACACUAGAUAUCUACUAGAAGAGGACAGAGUUCAAGAAAGCCUGGGCAAACAGACACAUUACAUGGAACCUCAAAUCCUCCAGGCUGUGCAGAAAUCUGCUCAGGGUCUGCCUCUUGAUCCCCUUCCGCCAGCAGCAGAAACUUGAAACCCUCCUCUGAUGUAAUGGAGCAGGGUUCAUGCUUUUCUUCUGAAAGUUGUUGACUGGACGAGGACCUUUUUUUUUUACACAACAGCCUGGGUAUUACAGCAGUUGCAAAGGAAGCACUCAAUUAAUUUUGCUCUCAGCCUGAAAAUUCAGGUGCACAUCUGCCACCUCUGAGAGAAACGUGAGCCCCCAGCCACAUGUUGGUGGAGGAUGAAGGCACACAAAGUGCUCACCAAGCUUCCUGUUGGAGCCAGAACAUGCAAUUUCACAAACACUAAGCAAGCAAUUCAUCAAGAGAACAACAAAGGCUGGAACUGAAAGAUAAAACAUCCAGUAUUAUCAGACCUUUGAGUAAACAAGAAACCCCCCAGAAUCCCUGAAGAACAACAAAUUUUGAAAGCUUUCUACGUGACUUCGGACUCUUGAGCUUGGAUUACUUGUGAAAAUCUAAUACUACUUGGAAGAAAAAAAAAAAAGUGGCAGUUCCAGCUACUAAAUAGAUUGUUUUGGGAAAACAAAACAAAACAAACAAACAAAAAAACCACAAAUAAACAAAAAAUAAAAGUAAGAGUUAAGGAGAUA